UACGAAGGGGGCUAGCGUUGCUCGGAAUCACUGGGCGUAAAGCGCACGUAGGCGGAUUGUUAAGUCAGGGGUGAAAUCCUGGAGCUCAACUCCAGAACUGCCUUUGAUACUGAAGAUCUUGAGUCCGGGAGAGGUGAGUGGAACUGCGAGUGUAGAGGUGAAAUUCGUAGAUAUUCGCAAGAACACCAGUGGCGAAGGCGGCUCACUGGCCCGGUACUGACGCUGAGGCACGAAAGCGUGGGGGCAAACAGG
rnacentral:rRNA from 1 species